rnacentral:rRNA from 1 species
GACGAACGCUGGCGGCGUGCUUAACACAUGCAAGUCGAACGGAAAGGCCCUGCUUUUGUGGGGUGCUCGAGUGGCGAACGGGUGAGUAACGCGUGAGUAACCUGCCCUUGACUUUGGGAUAACUUCAGGAAACUGGGGCUAAUACCGGAUAGGAGCUCCUGCUGCAUGGUGGGGGUUGGAAAGUUUCGGCGGUUGGGGAUGGACUCGCGGCUUAUCAGCUUGUUGGUGGGGUAGUGGCUUACCAAGGCUUUGACGGGUAGCCGGCCUGAGAGGGUGACCGGCCACAUUGGGACUGAGAUACGGCCCAGACUCCUACGGGAGGCAGCAGUGGGGAAUAUUGCACAAUGGGCGGAAGCCUGAUGCAGCAACGCCGCGUGCGGGAUGCCGGCCUUCGGGUUGUAAACCGCUUUCGCCUGUGACGAAGCGUGAGUGACGGUAAUGGGUAAAGAAGCACCGGCUAACUACG